rnacentral:rRNA from 1 species
AUUGAACGCUAGCGGGAUGCUUUACACAUGCAAGUCGAACGAGUGGCGGACGGGUGAGUAAUGUAUCGGAACGUGCCCAGUAGAGGGGGAUAACUACUCGAAAGAGGGCUAAUACCGCAUACUAUCGGAUCGACCGAUAUGGGAUUAGCUAGUUGGUGGGGUAAAGGCUCACCAAGGCAACGAUCCGUAGCUGGUUUGAGAGGAGGACCAGCCACACGGGGACUGAGACACGGCCCAGACUCCUACGGGAGGCAGCAGUGGGGAAUUUUGGACAAUGGGGGAAACCCUGAUCCAGCCAUCCCGCGUGUAUGAUGAAGGCCUUCGGGUUGUAAAGUACUUUCGGCAGAGAAGCGUUAUCUGCAGAAUAAGCACCGGCUAACUACGUGCCAGCAGCCGCGGUAAUUC